rnacentral:rRNA from 1 species
AACGAACGCUGGCGGCAGGCUUAACACAUGCAAGUCGAACGCUUGCAGCAAUGCACGAGUCGUGCACGGGUGAGUACCGAGUGGAUAUUUGCCUUUUGGUUCGGAAUAACCUAGCGAAACUUGAGCUAAUACCGGAUUGUUCCUUCGCGCUAAACAUUUAUCGCCAAAAGAUGGUUCCUCGUCCGAUUAACUAGCUGGUGAGGUAAUGGCUCACCAAGGCGACGAUCUGUAGCUGGUCUGAGAGGACGAUCAGCCACACUGGGACUGAGACACGGCGCAGACUCCUACGGGAGGCAGCAGUGGGGAAUAUUGGACAAUGGGGGCAACCCUGAGCCAGCCAGGCCGCGUGAGUGAUGAAGGCCUUCGGGUUGUAAAGCUCUGUUGGCGGGGACGAUGAUGACGGUACCCGCAGAAUAAGCCCCGGCUAACUUCGUG